rnacentral:tRNA from 1 species
ACUAUUUUGGCAGAUAAGUGCCUUGAAUUUAGAAUUCAAUUAUGUAAUUAAGUAUUACAAAUAGUA